GCGGGGCGGCGCUCUAGGCCGAGCGGGAGGUCUUGGCUUCGGGCGCUCGCUGGUGGCGGACCCGGAGGCUGCUCCUGCGCGCCGGGGCUCCUUGGCCCGGAUCGAAUUCGAUCUGGAGCCAUGAGUGUGGACAAGGCCGAGCUAUGCGGGUCUCUGCUCACCUGGUUGCAGACGUUCCAAGUUCCACCUCCCUGUGCCAGUCCUCAGGACCUGAGCAGCGGACUCGCCAUAGCCCAUGUGCUGAAUCAGAUAGACCCUUCCUGGUUCAACGACGCAUGGCUCCAGGGCAUCACAGAGGACCCAAGUCCCAGCUGGAGGUUGAAGGUCAGGAAACUGGAGAAGAUCUUACAGAGCUUGAUGGAAUAUUCGAAGGAUGUCCUGGGGCACCCUGUGUCGGAGCAGCAUCUCCCAGAUGUCAGCCUCAUUGGAGAGGUCUCAGAUCCUGCUGAGCUUGGCAAGCUGCUUCAGCUGGUACUGGGCUGUGCUAUCAGUUGUGAGAAAAAACAGGAGUAUAUCCAGAGAAUUAUGACGCUGGAGGAAUCUGUUCAGCACAUAGUGAUGGAAGCCAUACAGGAGCUCAUGACAAAAGACACUUCUGAUUCCCUGUCACCGGAGACUUACGGGAACUUUGAUACACAGUCCCGCAGGUACUAUUUCCUGAGUGAGGAGGUGGAGGAGGGUGAUGAACUUCAGCAGCGCUACCUGGAUCUGGAACGGCAGCUUGCGCUCCUUUCAGAGGAGAAGCAGACUCUGGCACAAGAGAAUGCUGCCCUGCGGGAGAGGGUGGGCCGAUCGGAAGUGGAGAGUGCCCCGGGCCUCACUGCGAAGAAGCUGUUGCUUCUGCAGUCACAGCUGGAACAGCUGCAGGAGGAGAAUUUCAGGCUGGAGAGCAGCCGGGAAGAUGAGCGGCUGCGCUGCCUGGAGCUGGAGCGGGAGGUCACUGAGCUGCAACAGCGGAACCAAGCACUGAGCAGCCUGUCUCAGGAGGCACAGUCAUUAAAGGAUGAGAUGGAUGAGCUGAGGCAGUCCUCCGAGCGUGCGAGGCAGCUGGAGGCUACUCUGAACAGCUGCCGUCGCCGCCUGGGUGAGCUCCGGGAACUCCGGCGGCAGGUGCGGCAGCUGGAGGAGCGCAAUGCAGGCCACGCGGAGCGCACGCGGCAGCUGGAGGAGGAGCUGCGCCGUGCAGGAUCCCUGCGUGCCCAGCUCGAGGCUCAGCGCAGGCAGGUUCAAGAGUUGCAGAGCCAGUGGCAGGAAGAGGCCAUGAAGGCUGAGAAGUGGCUGUUUGAAUGCAGAAACCUAGAGGAGAGGUGUGACCUGGUGACAAAGGAGAAGGAGCGGCUAUUGACAGAGAGGGACUCCCUGAGGGAGGCCAAUGAGGAACUCCGCUGUGCCCAGCUGCAGCCGAGGGGAUUGCCAACACAGGCUGACCUCUCCCUGGAUCCUACCCCUUCUGGCCCAGAAAACUUAGCAGCAGAGAUCCUGCCAGCAGAGCUCAGGGAGACACUCCUGCGGCUUCAGCUGGAAAACAAACGACUGUGCCAGCAGGAGGCGGCGGACCGGGAGCGACAGGAGGAGCUGCAGCGCCAUCUGGAGGAGGCCAACCGUGCACGCCAUGGCUUGGAGACGCAGCACCGGCUGAACCAGCAGCAGCUGUCUGAGCUGAGGGCCCAGGUGGAAGAGUUACAGAAGGCCCUGCAGGAGCAGGCGGGCAAGAGUGAGGACGUGAGUGCCCACCUCCUCCCUGCCUGGCCCUCCCUUGUGCUCCCCAGUAAUCCUCCUUUCCCCCCCCACCCCUCUGCUGCCGGAUGCCCGAGGAAGGCCACUCCCACCCUGCUGAAGAGAAAGCUGGAGGACCAUCUGCAGAAGCUGCAUGAGGCUGACCUAGAGCUGCAGAGGAAACGAGAGUACAUUGAGGAGUUGGAGCCUCCUGCUGACAGCAACACGGCUCGGCGGAUUGAGGAGCUGCAGGACAGUCUGCAGAAGAAGGAUGCAGACUUGCGGGCCAUGGAGGAGCGAUACCGACGCUAUGUGGACAAGGCACGCACGGUCAUACAGACCCUGGAACCCAAGCAGCGGCCACCAACUGUGGUGGCCCCGGAAUUGCAUACCCUGAGGACGCAGCUCUGGGAGCGGAACCUGCGGAUAAGGCAGCUGGAGGUGGGUGCCCUCAUCCCUUCCUGCGGCCGGCGGCGCAGCCAAGCCCUUGCCUGACUCUUGUUCUCCUUGGCAGAUGGACAGUGAGAGGAGUCGGAGCCAACGGGAGCAGGAGGAAAAGCUGCUCAUCAGUGCCUGGUACAGCAUGGGCAUGGCCUUGGAACAGCGGGCUGGGGAAGAGCAGGCUCCUGCCCAUGCCCAGUCCUUCCUGGCACAGCAAAGGCUGGCUACCAAUGCUCGCCGAGGCCCCUUGGGGCGCAUGGCUUCUCUGAGCCUUCGCCCCACUGACAAGCACUGACACACCUCAACUUCCUGCCACCGCUGCAAUCCUCCAGUUCACAAUGGUGCCCAGCCUGGGGCCUUGACCUUGACUGAGGAUAUGACUCCUGCCCUUAGCUUCCUUAGAUGGGAGAGAAGAGAGAGGCAGGUAGCAGGUGUAGCUAAUCCUUUCAGCAAUGUGAUUCUUAUUCUUGAUUUUUCUCCUGUACUACCCGGGAGAAGCCUGAUUUUAUAUUUGAAAAGAAUAAAGACUUUAA